AGCUUCCCGUCUGUGGAUGCCAUGCACGUACGUAGUGGUCAUCGUGACCAGGGCACCAACCUCCCUAAGCCAACUCUAACAAACUCAAAAACUUAAACCUAAAGAUCACAGAUCUCCUAACCCACUCCAUCACGAUUCCUCGAGAACAUUUUCCGAUCAUGUAUUCCAUGCUUCCCACUUAGUCCUGCCUCAGAAGCGCUUUCCAAUGCCUAAGAAGAGAAAUAAUACGAUAAACGAUAGUUAAAGACGAUAA
rnacentral:lncRNA from 1 species